rnacentral:lncRNA from 1 species
UUCGAGUCACCCUAGGAGCUAGAGUGUGAGUGAGUUUUUUUCUUUCUUUGGUUGUAAUAUUUUUUUUAAAGUAAUAUAUAAGUUUAUAUUCUAUGUCGUGUGAAAGUUUUUAACACUAUCUCAUAUGACGAUUUAUACUUAGUUUUAUGUUAGUAUAAUAUUGGCAGAAGCUUGGGUUGUUUUUUAGUGGUUAGAUUUUUUUUGGAGUAAGAGUAGAUUUGAAUUUAUUUUGAUUUGUGUGUGGAAAAACAUUGGUGUAUGAAUGAUUAGUGAGAUUUGUCGAGAAAUUCGUGCCUCAUAUCCUAUUUAGGUUAGAGUCUUAUUUUAGUAUAUAAAAUAGCUUGAUAAUAAUAACAUAUGAGUAUUUGUGUUUAAUAUGAAUUUGAUGAGUUUACGACAUGAAUAAAUCAGUAUAUUCGCAUGAAUGAAUUUUUUAAAGUUUAUGCGCAAGAAUUUUUUCAUAAGAAACCACAUAUAGUCCGAAUUGGUGAGCAUGAAUUAUUAGUGAGAGUUAAGUAAAAAUUUGUACCUUAUAUCCUAGUUAUGGUUGAGUCUCAUUUUAGUAUAUAAAAUAGUUUGAUAAUAACAUAUGG